UAUAUCUACGUUCUUCAGUCGUUUCGCUUUCAACAGACGCAAAUAUAGUAUAACCCAGCUCCCUCUUUCGCUGGAUUUAUAACUAAAACUCGAAACUCGAAAGGGUUGGGUCAGUAAUUGCGCAUUAUACCGUUUGUUCUUCAGCAAUUCCACUCCUGAUCCUUUACAGGAGACUCACAAAAAUUGUCAAGAUCGCUUUUUCAGACGAAAAAUAAGGAUGAAGCUAAUAUUUUUUCAAGAUUAGAAUUAUCAUGUUGUUUUUACAUGCAUCAAGAGCUCCUAGCAAUUUGGAAAAAAAGCCAAAGGUCAAUAUGUGGUCAAAGGUACAAAACCAAACUCCACUUUGCUGAUUACUUAAUAAUUAAUAUGGAUGCAAAUUCUCUAAUAGUGUAAUAAUGAAAAAAGCGUUGGUAGAUUAGUGUCCCCAUGAAGGGACCUAUUUGUGAGCGAUUGCCAUUUUAAUUUUUCCCAAUAGGACAUUAUAUUUUUAUGUUAUUAUUAAGACAAUGCACUUUGAUUAUGGUUACCAGUUUACAUUAUUAUAUAUUAUUUAUUUUACUAUUAGGAAAUUUUCUUUGAAAAUCGAACGGGUUGAGGCAUUAUAAUUUCUUAUAUAGCUUUAUACUCUCACUAUAAAAUCUAUUAAGAUAUUGUACUUUCCCAAUGUGUACUUUGAUAGGCAUUAAGGAUUUUUUUUUUUCAUUAUUUGACAAAUGUAACUACUCUUUUUUCUUUUUUCGAUGUUUGAUAGUCUCUUUGAAAAAUAAAAAGGUGCAACACCACAUCACCUACUUUUUUUUAUUGUUUGAUAGUCUCUAUGUAAACCCUCUUGUUUUGCUCUACAUUUGUCAUAGAAUAGCCUGCAGUUAAUGCCCAAUCUUGCAGCUUCGGAUGCGGUAAAGUGUAAUGGGACACAAAAGGUUUCUACUUUUAAUUCAUUAUGCUUUUUCUUUUCUUUGUUUGAUAGUAAGGGAGAUGUAGCAGUUUCCCAUGAAAACCUGAAUGCAAGUCUUGAAAUUAACUUCUAUCCAUUUGAUGUGUAAGUAUCAGCAGUCUCAAAUUGGUUUAUAAAAUGCCAAUUGUUUUACCAUUAUUUUGUUCAUCUGUGUUUUAUAGCAUCCUAAUUUCAUUUCUUUCAAUUAUAGUGUUGUACUUUCAACUAAUUUCUUAUUAACACAUUGUACUUUGAAAGUGUAUCCAAUUAUGGCAUCGAACUUAUAGCUACUUUUCUAUUAGAACAUUAUACUAAUAAUGUUGUUCAUCAAUCAUGAAAGAUAAAUCAUAAGCUUUCUGGUGUUUUCUUACUUUAAUGGAAAGAUCAAGCCCAAAGAUCCAACUGUGAUAAAAAAAAAGGUAUGCACUCUCAACUCUUUGCAUUAUCAAAGGUCCUCUCUCUAUCUCACUAUAGAACAAGGAUAUUUUCGUCGUUUAAUAAAAGAGGAAGAAUGAACCUGAAAUCCUUCCACCGGCCCCUAUGAAUGGUUCAAAUCCAUCAAAUAUGACAUUCGAAGGAAUUUGACAGAGUUGAAUGGAAUAUUGAAUUCCAAUUCCACCGGAAUCCACAAUUCUAAAACAUAGCUUCGAUUUUCAAACAUGAUACUUAAAGAAAUUCGACUGAACUGAAUUCUGUCCUAAUUGUCAAUCAAACAUGUCUUGAUAAGGAAUCUCGAACUCCAAUUCUGUCGGAAUCCGCGAUUCCUUUUCUUAGCUGGUGGAACUACUCAACAACCCAUUUUAGUUGUUACAUCUUGUAUAAAAUCUUUUUGAUGCUUAAAUUCCUGUAUUAUCCUUAAUUAGUAAUGGAUUGCUUGGAUAAUACUCAACAACCCAUGAAGGAACCUAUCUGUGAGUGAUUGUCAUUUUAAUUUUUCCCAUUAGGACAUUAUAAUUUUAUGAUCUUAUUAAGACAAUGCACUUUGAUUAUGGUUACAAGUUUACAUUAUUAUAUAUAAUGUAUUUUACUAUUAGGAAAUUUUCCAUAAAAAUCAAAAGUUAUUACUUCACAAUCUAACCUGUUAAAUUAUAUUUUUUUUCCUUCUAAGAUAUUGUACUUUGAUAUUACUUUGAAAAUCUAAUAAUGUUUGAUUUUGGUUACCAUUUAUAGGAUUAUACUCUCAUUUCCUGUUACGACAUUGUACAUUGAAAACUUGUUUGAUUUUUGUUACAAAUAGCAUUUUAUUUUUAAGUUUUUAUCCUCUAAUGACUUUGAACUAUAACCUAUUAAGUUCAAUUUUUAUUUUUUCUUUUUAAAACAUUAUGCUUUGAAAAACCUACCCAACUGUAGCACUACAACUUUUAGUUAUAGCAUUAUGCUUUCAAUGUCCCUAUUUUUUAAUGUUUUUUUUUUUCAAGAAUGACAUUGUAUCAUUAAAUUCUUAUCAAUUAUAGUUUUGAUAUCUAACCUAUUAAGCCAUUUUGACCAGUUAUAGGAAUUUACUUAAAAUUUUAAAUUUGUUUUACGCUAUUACCCUCUUCAGACACAUGCGAUAUGCUUUUCUUGGAGGGUUUGAUGUGGCAAUGAAACGUAUGUUGGAAAUUGUGGGUUGUAGUCAUCAAUCAAAGCCAAUGCAUGAGUUUUGUUCAUUUGUGUAAGAGAACUUGAAAUUGUUGGAUGACAUGGCGGAAUUGUGACCUAUUAUGUUCCUUGAUUACAUUAUAGAGUAUAUGAUAAAUUUAUGUAUUUUUCAAUAAGUAAGGCUUUAUGAUGUUCUAUUAGUGUGUGGUUUUUGCAGGGAAGAGGCAAGCUUUCAAUACUUUAAAUGUGAAGAGGCAAGCUUUACUUAAAGGUAACAAUUUACAAAACUUUCUUCAGCACUUUUAGUUUUCGAUACUUUAAAGAAUAUAAUCUGUGUGAUAAUAUCAAAUCUUACAGCCUAGAAUUCAUCUCCUAUGCUAAUUAUUAGUAUUUAAUAAAAUAAAAGACAAACUUUGUGGAUGGGUUCGUUUUAUGGUUUCAGGUGCAUCAUCCCUACCUUUUCUCUUGAUGUUAUGUAUUUUCUUAAAGCCUAAGUUAUUUUUAACAACUUACUCUCUUUCAUUUGUGUUUUUUAGCAUCUUAAUUUCAUUUCUUUCUAUUAUAGUAUUCUACUUUCAAAAAAAAUAUUUAUUAACACAUUGUACGUUGAAAAUUAAUUCAAUUAUGGCAUCGUACUUAUAGCUAUUUCUCUAUUAUACUUUUAGAUGACUACCCCUUUAUAGCUUUGUGCUUUCAUCUUAUUCUUAUUAUAGCAUUCAUUAUGCUUUAAAAUUCUACCCAACUAUAGCAUUGUAUUUCCGUUUUUUUUUUCUUUAUAUGACCUUGUACUUUGAACAAUCUACCUAUUCAAAGCAAUUUUACUUUCAAUUUUUUGCUUAGUAAACUGGGUAGAUUUUUGAAAGUAGAUUGUUGAAAUAAAAUGAAAGGAAAGUUGGAUGCUAUAUAUAGUAAGCAAUCACUGAAAGUACAUUGCUAUUUCUGGUCACAUAUUUUUAAAGUUUGUUCAUUAUAGCAUCGUACUUCCAUUUCUUUGUGUCACAACAUUGUAAUUUCAACAUUUUCUCAUAAGGGCAUUGCAUUGUGCAGUUAUAGUGUUGUACUUUUAAUCUUUUUUAUUAGGACAUCCUACUUUAAAAAAUCUAUCCAAUCACAGCAAUGAAAAUUGCUUUGUUUUGAUGACAAUGCUAUAAUUGGGAAGAGUACAAUGCUAUAUUAUGAAAAAUGAAAGUAGGACUGUGGUGACAAGAGAUACAAAUGAAAAGGAUAAAAUAGUAGCUAUUCGAGAAGCUACACUCUCCAAAGGAAUAUAAACUUCUAAGGAUAAUGAUGAUGCAUUCCUUGAGGCUGGCCAACCCCUUAAUAGGGCACGAAUGACAGCUGGGACUCCAAAUGCCCAUUUUGCCCCUGCUCCCGCAUUACCUCUGCAGUCAUGAUGGUUGGCCUGGUGGUCCCCCUUUCCCUUGGAAUCCUUUUCUGUUUUUUCCUUCUUAAUGUGAAUUUGAGUGGUGGGUGCAUAACAGAUGCUAUAUAAUAUACAAAUCAAUGAAAGUAGAUUGCUAUCUGUUGCAUUUAAAGCAAUAUUGAUUUA